CCCUCUCUCGUGCUCACUCUCCUGGAAGCUGACCGGUGCGAGGGUUUUCUCGACCGCAAGUGCUGGAUAUCGUUUCGGGACACUGACCAGGAAGUGGCAGCUUCUGCAUAAGCAGUGACAACCAGCUUGGGUGAUACAGGGAGGGUCAGUAGAGAUGGAUGUUGUCCAGCACAGGGAACCAUGGCAACGGGUCCCCACUGAAGAUUAAGAGAGUGCGUGACGGGCGGCGCAGAAAGGAACACAGACGGUGGCGACCACAUUUGGGAUUGACCGAGUGAAGUGCCGUGCACCCUGGGAGUAUGAUCGUUAAAUCACUGAGGCCAUGAGGAUUGAUUGGAAGGUGCUCCUUGCACAAGUGAUGGCUGUGCUCCCCAAUGAUGCCUUAAGGGACAGGAAGAGAUUCCUGUGAGAUGAGGGCCUCACCGACAAGUGCUGUGUUUGUCUGUCGUGACAGGCUGCUGUCACAUCUUCAAGCCACACCUUCUAAUUAAUUUGGACCUCAAAUUACUCUCUCUCUCUUUUUUAAAGCAAAUAGUCCAGUUUGAGAUGAACUUUCCAGGGUGGGGUUGUCACACAUUGCAAUUACCUUCUUCGGCUCACAUAAAGGAAUCAUUCAGGGGCUAGCGCUUUCCACACAAGGUGGCCACCUGCAGACCCCGGGGGUCAUGGGAGGGAAAGGUUACUCUUUUGUUCACAAAAGUCUCUUCCUCGAGUGUAGCUGAAGAAAGCCUUUCAGCUGCAACAAGUUUAAUUAAAAGAAACACAUUUGCCCACCACCGUCCUGAUGCAAGACGUAUCUGCUGGCCUCAGAGCCCUGUGACUGGCAGAGCUGUUCUGAAAUUACACAUCUGCUUCCUGUGGACACAGCGCUGUGACUGACAGAAAGGAAGCUGAAGGAUAGCAAGCAUCUGGAGAUGUUGAAGCCUCUUUGUCAACCUAAAGAUCCAGAGGACACGCCCGGCGUUGGUGGCAUGCACGCCUUGUAUCCCA